rnacentral:rRNA from 1 species
AACGAACGCUGGCGGCAUGCCUAACACAUGCAAGUCGAACGAGACCGUCGGGCCUAGGGGCGCACGGGUGCGUAACGCGUGGGAACUUGCCCUUAGGUUCGGAAUAACUCCCUGAAAGGGGUGCUAAUACCGGAUAAGGUCUUCGGACCAAAGAUUUAUCGCCUUUGGAUGGGGCCUCGUUGGCUUAGUUGGUUGGUAGGGUAAAAGCCUACCAAGGCGACGAUCCCUAGCUGGUCUGAGAGGAUGAUCAGCCACACUGGGACUGAGACACGGGCCAGACUCCUACGGGAGACAGCAGUAGGGAAUAUUGGGCACUGAGCGAAAGCCUGAUCCAGCAGUGCCGCGUGAGUGAUGAAGGCGUUAGGGUUGUAAAGCUCUUUUACCCGAGAUGAUAAUGACAGUACCGGGAGAAUAAGCACCGGCUAACUCCGUG